GAUUCUAAACUUGUUGUUAGGAAGAACAAGGCGAGAGUAACUGCUCGAACCUUGACGGUACCUAACCAGAAAGCCAAGGCUAAUUACGUGCCAGCAGCCGCGGUAAUACGUAGGUGGCUAAGCGUUGUCCGGAAUUAUUGGGAGUAAAGGGUUCGCAGGCGGUUUUUUAAGUCUGAUGUGAAAGCCCCCGGCUCAACCCGGGAGGGUCAUUGGAAACUGGGAAACUUGAGUGCAGAAGAGGAGAGUGGAAUUUCCACGUGUAGCGGUGAAAUGCGUAGAGAUGUGGAGGAACACCAGUGGCGAAGGCGACUCUCUGGUCUGUAACUGACGCUGAGGAGCGAAAGCGUGGGGAGCGAACAGGAUUAGAUACCCUGGUAGUCCACGCCGUAAACGAUGAGUGCUAAGUGUUAGGGGGUUUCCGCCCCUUAGUGCUGCAGCUAACGCAUUAAGCACUCCGCCUGGGGAGUACGGUCGCAAGACUGAAACUCAAAGGAAUUGACGGGGGCCCGCACAAGCGGUGGAGCAUGUGGUUUAAUUCGAAGCAACGCGAAGAACCUUACCAGGUCUUGACAUCCUCUGACAACCCUAGAGAUAGGGCUUUCCCUUCGGGGACAGAGUGACAGGUGGUGCAUGGUUGUCGUCAGCUCGUGUCGUGAGAUGUUGGGUUAAGUCCCGCAACGAGCGCAACCCUUGAUCUUAGUUGCCAGCAUUCAGUUGGGCACUCUAAGGUGACUGCCGGUGACAAACCGGAGGAAGGUGGGGAUGACGUCAAAUCAUCAUGCCCCUUAUGACCUGGGCUACACACGUGCUACAAUGGACAGAACAAAGG
rnacentral:rRNA from 1 species